GAUGAACGCUAGCUACAGGCUUAACACAUGCAAGUCGCGGGGCAGCAUGGGGGUUGCUUGCAAUCCCCGAUGGCGACCGGCGCACGGGUGAGUAACGCGUAUCCAACCUGCCCUUCACCACGGGAUAACCCGGCGAAAGUCGGACUAAUACCGUAUGUUGUCCAUUGACGGCAUCCGAUUUGGACGAAAGGUUUGGCGGUGAAGGAUGGGGAUGCGUCCGAUUAGCUGGACGGCGGGGUGACGGCCCACCGUGGCGACGAUCGGUAGGGGUUCUGAGAGGAAGGUCCCCACACUGGAACUGAGACACGGUCCAGACUCCUACGGGAGGCAGCAGUGAGGAAUAUUGGUCAAUGGGCGUAAGCCUGAACCAGCCAAGUAGCGUGCAGGAUGACGGCCCUAUGGGUUGUAAACUGCUUUUAUGCGGGGAUAAAGUGGCCCACGUGUGGGUUUUUGCAGGUACCGCAUGAAUAAGGACCGGCUAAUUCCGUG
rnacentral:rRNA from 1 species